CGACGUGAGCAAUCUGCCUUUAAGAGGGGGAUAACAGUCGGAAACGGCUGCUAAUACCGCAUAAAGCAUCAAAUUCGCAUGUUUUUGAUGCCAAAGGAGCAAUCCGCUUUUAGAUGAGCUCGCGUCUGAUUAGCUGGUUGGCGGGGUAACGGCCCACCAAGGCGACGAUCAGUAGCCGGACUGAGAGGUUGAACGGCCACAUUGGGACUGAGACACGGCCCAG
rnacentral:rRNA from 1 species